AUACAGAGGGUGCGAGCGUUAAUCGGAAUUACUGGGCGUAAAGCGCGCGUAGGUGGUUAGUUAAGUUGGAUGUGAAAGCCCUGGGCUCAACCUGGGAAUGGCAUUCAAAACUGGCUGACUAGAGUAUGGUAGAGGGAAGGGGAAUUCCAGGUGUAGCGGUGAAAUGCGUAGAUAUCUGGAGGAACAUCAGUGGCGAAGGCGCCUUCCUGGACUAAUACUGACACUGAGGUGCGAAAGCGUGGGUAGCAAACAGGAUUAGAAACCCUAGUAGUCC
rnacentral:rRNA from 1 species